rnacentral:rRNA from 1 species
AUACGUAGGGGGCGAGCGUUGUCCGGAAUGAUUGGGCGUAAAGGGCGCGUAGGCGGCCCGGUAAGUCUGGAGUGAAAGUCCUGUUUUUAAGAUGGGAAUUGCUUUGGAUACUGUCGGGCUUGAGUGCAGGAGAGGUAAGUGGAAUUCCCAGUGUAGCGGUGAAAUGCGUAGAGAUUGGGAGGAACACCAGUGGCGAAGGCGACUUACUGGACUGUAACUGACGCUGAGGCGCGAAAGUGUGGGGAGCAAACAGGAUUAGAUACCCUGGUAGUCCACACCGUAAACGAUGAAUACUUGUUUUCGGCGAUAUAAUGUCGGAGGCAAAGCGAAAGCGAUAAGUAUUCCACCUGGGGAGUACGCCGGCAACGGUGAAACUCAAAUGAAUUGGCGGGG